GAACUACAUAUGAAACAUGAGCGGUAAAGCUAAUCAUAGAUCAAAAGUUUUCCUUUACUGAUUCACUUACAAUGGCCAAUUGCAAAGCUUAUAGAAAGAAUGAUAAAAUGUUAGCAAUGACUAAAAUGGGAAAUUUAAGUUUAGAGCACGGAUACAAGAUUAUCAUAUCAAUAAUACAUAAUGAAACUCAUUAAAAAUAAACUACAGAACCUUGUUCUAGCAAUGAAUUGUAUCAUAAAUAACACUUCAUUAACACCAAUUUGAUGAGAAGUACAUGGCUAUCCACUUAGUAAGAGAUGUAAAAUCGUAGAAGUUGCCUCGGUUAAAAUACAAUUCUACAAAGACAAAUAGAUAUGUCAUGGUCUAAGCUGUUAUCUGAUAUAUUUGUAUUAUAUAGAUAUUUUUAAAUACAUUUGUAUAAUAUUUCAUAGCAUUUAGAUAAGUAAUCUCAUGCAUAAUCAUCAAUUUCACAAACUUUUGUGAAUUCCAUGGUUAGGCUCUGAAUUUUAUAUUUUUUGUAUGUUUCCA
rnacentral:misc_RNA from 1 species